CCUACGGGAGGCAGCAGUAGGGAAUAUUGCUCAAUGGGGGAAACCCUGAAGCAGCAACGCCGCGUGAGCGAUGAAGGCCUUCGGGUCGUAAAGCUCUGUCCACAAAGAAGAUAAUGACGGUACUUGAGGAGGAAGCUCCGGCUAACUACGUGCCAGCAGCCGCGGUAAUACGUAGGGGGCUAGCGUUAUCCGGAAUUACUGGGCGUAAAGGGUGCGUAGGUGGUUUCUUAAGUCGGAGGUGAAAGGCUACGGCUAAACCGUAGUAAGCCUUUGAAACUGGGAAACUUGAGUGCAGGAGAGGAGAGUGGAAUUCCUGGUGUAGCGGUGAAAUGCAUAGAUAUUAGGAGGAACCCCAGUUGCGAAGGCGGCUCUCUGGACUGUAACUGACACUGAGGCACGAAAGCGUGGGGAGCAAACAGGAUUAGAUACCCUAGUAGUC
rnacentral:rRNA from 1 species